AUGCUACUUCCUCCUAUCCAAAUAAACCGUCGCAGUUUCGUAUAAAUAUGCAUGUAUCUAGACGCGUUUCAAUGUAUAGAUACAUGCGUAUCUAGAAGUUGCGGCAAUUAUUUGGAUCGGAGGAAGUACCAU
rnacentral:pre_miRNA from 1 species